rnacentral:rRNA from 1 species
UACGUAGGGUGCAAGCGUUAAUCGGAAUUACUGGGCGUAAAGCGUGCGCAGGCGGUUUUGUAAGUCUGUCGUGAAAGCCCCGGGCUCAACCUGGGAAUUGCGAUGGAGACUGCAAGGCUUGAAUCUGGCAGAGGGGGGUAGAAUUCCACGUGUAGCAGUGAAAUGCGUAGAGAUGUGGAGGAACACCGAUGGCGAAUGCAGCCCCCUGGGUCAAGAUUGACGCUCAUGCACGAAAGCGUGGGGAGCAAACAGG